AAUGCGUUUGUUGCGUAAAAUUGCUGAUUUUCUCAAUGGACUUUGCAGUAGGAGAAAGCAGUUUCCACGCAUCAGUUCCAGGCAAGAAAGAGUGACAAGAACGUUGUUCAGCAGACAUAGGAAUCAUAUCUUGACUCCAUCUUCCUCAAACUGAGAGUCGAGGGAUGGGACUUAAAGAUCCAAGACCAGAGUGAACCUCGGUGCUGCGUUUGAACGGUGGCGACGACUGAACGUCCAGAAAGUGGCUGCAAAGUGAUGCCAUGGUGACUCUGCUUCUAAUGGACCGGGUUGCAACAGCGGAUCAUCUUGACCUCUCUUGUGUCCUCCUGUGUCCUCAUGCCCUCCUUCACACCAUCUGUGAACCUUUCUCUGUGGUCUUCUGCUUUUCCACCUGCCGGCAGCUCCAUCUUCCACAUCCUUUGUCUUAAUGCGAAUAAAUAAAAGUCUGUCUGAGUGAUACCUCCAGACUCAUAAUACCUACCCGCUGAGGGACAGAGACAAUCAAGAGAGGUUCCACAGCCACAGCACAAGCAGCUAUGCUUGUUUUAUUUACCUCGACUCAUUUUCACGUGGUCAGACUCUAAUCUCCAGAGACAACAACCAAAGAAAAGGCCAAAACCUUAACGAAAAUAUACAGCAACAUCCCAUAAACGCAGAACUCCUGCUGCACUAAAAGAAUCCCUGCUAUGUCGGACAGAUUUACAAGGCAGUGGACGAUUGCUGUUUGGAGAAUUUACAACAUAUCCAGCGUGCAGGGUGUGUGACUGCAUAUUUGCCUCUUGACUCCUCAAACAAAUUUAUCUGGAAUGGAAAAAAAGAUGAAUAAAAAUGUGAUGUUUUAAGACUGUUUUCUGGCACACAGUUUCCUCUCAAUAAGAGGAGUGUAAGUUCUACCAUGGAAGAGAUUGUCUCGAUUUUUUAUUGCCAUUGGCAGAUUUUAUAGACUAAAUAAUGGCUGUGCAAUGGAAAUAAAUGGUGGUGGUCAUGUUCAUUCAUGCUGGUAAUUAUCGUUGCCUUUUCAAGAAAAAAGGAAGGCAAAACCCCCUCAAAGCAAAGAAAUUAUUAACUUUGGAAAGACACUGA